rnacentral:pre_miRNA from 1 species
AGGAGCACAGGAUCCUGGGCUGUGUCCCCGGCGCCCUGGGAUCGGGGGCCUGCACUGCUGGAAUCGCGCUCCCGGGCUGAGGCUCCA